AGCAACUUUGGUUUAAGACGGCAACACUUACAUACCUAAUUUAACUUAAUUAAGCAUUACUUUAGUCUGUAUGUGUGUGGGAGUAAAGUCCGUGAGUUACUAAAAAUAGCCGUUAAGCUAGCAGGCGUAGCUAUGGUAACCGCUUAGCUGCUAUAGUUAAUUAAGUGUGUUUUUAGCAUCGGCUAGUAGUAGUUUCUUUGAGUUCGCUUGUGGCUACUGGAUAAGUAACACAAAAUGAGUGUAAACCUACCUUACCCUGGUUUUAAAUACAGGAAGCCCCUCCGGGUGAACUGUGGGGGUCAUCUGAUGAAGACACCUGCCGGGACUUUUGACGUGUUACAGGGUCAGUUAGCGCCAUUACUGACCGGAAAAGGCCCCGGAUGUCUCUGACGAAGAUGCUGGCUUCCGGUUGGUCACUGUUACUCUCUGACACAAUCCAACUCUCCAGGACAGAAGCAGAACUCCUCGCUCUCCCCUGCGGCUUUCUCUCACACACAGGCGGUGUGAUGGCGCUGCAGCAGCAGAGAGAAAGAUCUGGGUGACCAUCUGAAACCAAUUAUGGCGGCGCUGCAGCCACCCAGAAACUCAGUGACGGAUGGGGAUCUUGUAUUUAUAGCUGGGACAUGAAAACCCUCCUCGGUCAGGGUGAUGAUAGCUCCAGGCCUGCGGUCAAGCUACUGUGGAGCCAAACCCACCUCCAGUCUGUCAGUCAUAUAAUGGCUCUUUAAGACCUUUUGCCAAUCGGUCCGCAACACUCCAGGUCUGAGGCUAACAGCUUCCAUAAACACCUCUCAUCCAGUCGUCUUGUGGUGUUUUCCCUCGCCUGUCAUGUCACCUUGUAUCAAAGAGCUAAAAAGUCUCCGUGCAAGUGUGUGGUCGUGUGGUUGUGUGUGUGUGCAGCGUACGCGAGUGUUUUGUGACCACAGUAAGUCAGUCCACUUGUCAGCUUUUAAACCAGAACCACUGGCUAAAGCCCACAACUCUGCAAACAGGGCAGAGGGAGAUAGAGAGGUUACGUUUACAGCUGCAGUGUGCAGGGAGAGGUUUG